AUCAUUUCCACCCUCCUCGUGCCAAGGGCAAUUUCCUGCAGCUGCUGACAGGAGCAGGGCAGGGAGGCUGUGGAAGGGAAUAUUCCACAGCACCAGCAUUUCAGGAGCAUUUUCAAGCCACGGGACGGGCAGAGAAGCUGUUUCAUUUUUAUAGCACAGAGAAAGAGCCCAGACCAGCCUUGUGUGGUUUUUUUAACCCCUUGUGUGGGCUGAAGAAUCAGCAGAACAAGAAACUCCAAAAAUGACUUUUCACUGGCCACCAUAAUUUCCUGGAUGGGUGGGUGGAUGGAGCCUCACCUUCAGGGAUGAACAAUCUGCACCAGCCAGCACCUGAGAGAGACAAGAGAAACGAGGCAAAGACAGGGGAAGAAACUGGCACAGAGGGAUCAUGGAAUCAUGGAAUGGUUUGGGUUGGAAGGGACCUUAAAGCUCAUCCAGUGCCACUCCCUGCCAUGGGCAGGGACACCUUCCACCAGCCCAGGUUGCUCCAAGCCCUGUCCAGCCUGGCCUGGGACACUUCCAGGGAUGGGGCAGCCACAGCUUCUCUGGGAAUUCCAUCCCAGUCCCUCCCCACACUCCCAAGGGGAAUUUCUUCCAAACAAUCUAAAUGUCACUACCUGCUCCCGGCUAACCCAGCGCUGCUCAGCUCUCACCCUGGACACCUCCUGUUCCCAGGGAAAGGUGUCUGGGAUGCAGCUGGCAAGGAA